rnacentral:rRNA from 1 species
UACGUAGGGUGCGAGCGUUAAUCGGAAUUACUGGGCGUAAAGCGUGCGCAGGCGGUUCGUUGUGUCUGCUGUGAAAUCCCCGGGCUCAACCUGGGAAUUGCAGUGGAAACUGGCGAGCUUGAGUGUGGCAGAGGGGGGUGGAAUUCCGCGUGUAGCAGUGAAAUGCGUAGAGAUGCGGAGGAACACCGAUGGCGAAGGCAGCCCCCUGGGCUGACACUGACGCUCAGGCACGAAAGCGUGGGGAGCAAACAGG